rnacentral:rRNA from 1 species
ACCCUGGUGGCGAGUGGCGAACGGGUGAGUAAUACAUCGGAACGUGUCCUGUAGUGGGGGAUAGCCCGGCGAAAGCCGGAUUAAUACCGCAUACGCUCUGUGGAGGAAAGCGGGGGAUCUUCGGACCUCGCGCUACAGGGGCGGCCGAUGGCAGAUUAGCUAGUUGGCGGGGUAAAGGCCUACCAAGGCGACGAUCUGUAGCUGGUCUGAGAGGACGACCAGCCACACUGGGACUGAGACACGGCCCAGACUCCUACGGGAGGCAGCAGUGGGGAAUUUUGGACAAUGGGCGCAAGCCUGAUCCAGCAAUGCCGCGUGUGUGAAGAAGGCCUUCGGGUUGUAAAGCACUUUUGUCCGGAAAGAAAACCUCUGGGUUAAUACCCUGGGGGGUAUGACGGUACCGGAAGAAUAAGCACCGGCUAACUACGUG